UUGUCUUGUUAUUUCAUUUUCUUUCAUUUUUCCCUUCUUCCCCUUCUGCUUACAGCCUACUUUUUGGCAAUCCUCUCUCUCUCUCUCUCUCUCUCUUCUUCGUUCCAUCCAACUCCCACCAACAAUAGCCACCACCCUCCACGACCUGUAACCUCACGUUGCCUCAGUGCCUCAGUCUUGUGCUCUGAAGAGGAAUAACGAAAAUGGCAGCUUUGGGGUCCGGGUCUAAGGAUCUCUCAAAUCUCCCCACUUUGUUUGUUGAAUCCUCUAAGCAUCUUUUUUUUUUUUUUAAUAUAAACAUAUAUUACAGAUUUUUUUUUAGUUUGGUUUAAUUACAUGUAUAUACGCAUGAUUUAUUUACUCAACUUGUAGAAAUUCAAACAUCUUACAGAUUGUAUUUGGGUUUGGUUUGGUUUCAUGCAUAUAUGAUUUAUUUGGUCAA